UACGAAGGGUGCAAGCGUUACUCGGAAUUACUGGGCGUAAAGCGUGCGUAGGUGGUUUGUUAAGUCUGUUGUGAAAGCCCCGGGCUCAACCUGGGAAUGGCAAUGGAUACUGGCAGGCUAGAGUGCGGUAGAGGGUAGUGGAAUUCCCGGUGUAGCGGUGAAAUGCGUAGAGAUCGGGAGGAACACCAGAGGCGAAGGCGGCGACCUGGACAGACACUGACACUCAACUACGAAAGCGUGGGGAGCAAACAGG
rnacentral:rRNA from 1 species